CCAAAAGGGGAGCCGCAAGGCUGAGAGGAGGCGCAGGCCUCGACCCGUUGACCUGAUUUGGAUAAUGCCAACGUAGGGAAAUAUU
rnacentral:ncRNA from 1 species